CAAAUCAGUAGCUUAUUAUUUUACGGCUCUGAAGUUGCAGGAUGAGAUACAAUACGGUAAAGCAAUUGCUUAUUUAAAAGUCGCUGAGGUUGCAAUAAAGGAAUCAGUGAAACCUGCAAAGCUUUGCGGCUUAAAUAUUCAGAAAUUUUCACAACAACUUGUCCAACAUUUGGAACACUCAGUUUCUGAGAAUAACAGGAUAUAUAACGAUCACGUACCAAAACUGGAAUUGGCGGAUGUCCCGCCUGCAAGAAGUAUGGUAAAUCCACUUCCCGUAACUAUCGAAUCCGACUCUCCUGACUACUUUGCCGCGUUGGUUCCGCUUUCCGCUCGAAAUCUUUUUGCUCGCU